UACGAAGGUCCCAAGCGUUGUUCGGAAUCACUGGGCGUAAAGGGAGCGUAGGCGGCGUGGUAAGUCAGAUGUGAAAUCCCGGGGCUCAACCCCGGAACUGCAUCCGAUACUGCCAUGCUUGAGGGUUGGAGAGGUAGCUGGAAUUCUCGGUGUAGCAGUGAAAUGCGUGGAUAUCGAGAGGAACACUCGUGGCGAAGGCGAGCUACUGGACAACAUCUGACGCUGAGGCUCGAAGGCUAGGGGAGCAAAAGGG
rnacentral:rRNA from 2 species